GACGAAGGUGGCAAGCGUUGUUCGGAAUCACUGGGCUUAAAGGGCACGUAGGCGGCCCGUCAAGCAUCUUGUGAAAUCCCUCGGCUCAACCGAGGAAUGGCUGGGUGAACUGACGGGCUUGAGGCAGGUAGGGGCACGUGGAACUCUUGGUGGAGCGGUGGAAUGCGUAGAUAUCAAGAGGAACGCCGGUAGCGAAAGCGGCGUGCUGGGCCUGGCCUGACGCUGAGGUGCGAAAGCCAGGGGAGCAAACGGGAUUAGAUACCCCGGUAGUCCUGGCCAUAAACGAUGUCCACUAGGUCGGAGGUUCUCUGACGAUCUUCCGGCCGAAACAAAAGCGUUAAGUGGACCGCCUGGGGAGUACGGUCGCAAGGCUAAA
rnacentral:rRNA from 1 species